rnacentral:tRNA from 1 species
UAGAUUUAAUUGGAAAAUCAUCUUUCUAGAGAGAAGACAUAGGUUCGAUUCCUAUCACCAACUCCA